CCUACUGCCACAGUCACAGAGGACUUCAGAUAAGCCAGGAACUGCCUGAGAGCUUUACGAGGUGGAAUCCAAGGAUGCUGGGUAAUGAUGACCCCCCUUCCCUCAUACAUCACAGGAUGCUGGGUAACAAUGACCCUCCUUCCCUCAUACAUCACAGGAUGCUGGAUGUCACCUGGAUCCUGAAACCAGGACACCACCCUUGGGAAGGAAGGAGAAUCAAAACUCAGAUAGCGAUGAGCCUACCCAGAAAAGGCGUAGGGCGGGGCCCAUGGAGGGAGAGGGGAGGGGCCAAGCUGUAGGAGAGAUUUAAUUUCUGCAGCCUCAGAUCCGUAAGAUUCAAUGUGCCUGUUUUCAGCUUCAACUGUUCCUCAGUUUAGCAAUACCGGUUCUGCAGUUCCUAUUCCGGUGGAGGACAAACCUUACAAAGCUGACUCACGAUAAUGAUUUUUUUUUUUCUCCAUGGAACCUGAACAGACAAGAAGAAUGCAGUCCGGAUCUAAAGAGAGUGGCCAUGCUUGUACAACUCUGAUGCAUUCUGCUUGCCCACUGGGAACUGUAAAGGCAUUGAUGUCGUCUGCCUGUGUGGAGGUAUAUGUACAGAUGACUCCCAGUCCCACUCUCAGGCCCUGUACAAGAUACAAAUGUACAAACUCCACUGUCACUUGUCAGUAGAGAGCUUGCUGUCUAGAUAUUAUUAAUUGCUGCAGCCACCCUACCUGACGGGCUCAACAAGGGAGGUGUCACCAGCUGGAAGCUAUCUAAUGGUGCCGCUUAUUCGGGAGGGGUAGGCCAGCCCCAACAAGGAAUAUGGAAAUGGAACUUGCCCAGAGAUGAAUGGACCAUAAGCUGCACUUGUGUUUUGAACCAAGGGGGUGUAUAUUUUGCCCCCCACUGAGUCUUCCUGCUAUAUCAUAUGUGUUCCAAGUCGACAUAAAGCUAAGGAGAGCGAUGUUCAACCUGCACAGUGCGGAGGGUAGUUUUACAGACACUAUCCCAUGGCCAAAUCUACACGUUUGGCCUUUAUAACAUUAAAUGGUUUUGGAGGUUUUCAAUUUCCUGGCUGGUUUUUCAGUUUGCAAAUAAAUGUAUAUCGAAAUGCUUUUCAAGAUAUUGACAUUCAAAUACUAAUUGCUGAGCAUUUCUUUUGUUCUUGCCCUUUAGAUAUAUGUCUGGUUUCUUCUUCUUUUUAGAUAAUCUUUUCUGUUUUGGCAGCUUUACAGAUAACCUUUUUGCCUUGCCAAUACAGAUUUCUCUGGUGAGAGUUGCUUGCAGAGAAUGAAGAAAAAUAAAUGCACAUUCAUGUCGCAUCAAGUUUUACUGUCACUCCCAGGUAACGCCUGGAAAUAAGGCUAUUGCUGAAGCGGCACAACAUUUAGCUAGGGGGUGGAGGGAGGGGUCAGGGCGAUGUGACUAGACUUGUCUAGUCUACAGAGAAUUGGAGCUGCUGGUUUUCACAUCAGAAACACCAUUUGCAUUUUUUUAGGUGAUUAUU